CCUCAGUUUUUUUAUUUCAUUUCCCGCUUUUCCCCUUUUCCAAAUUGUUAAAUCCUAAAUGAGGCCUCCCUUUUCCUAUUGAGCUAGGGGUAGUCUAAGCCUCAACAGAAAGAACACAAAUACAAUCAAUAAUCAUACACGAUUCAACUUCAUUUUUUCAAUUGUUCAUCAUCUCUUCCCCUACAUCCAGAUUCUCCCCAUUGUUCUAGUUCGACUGAACCAAGUUGUCACUCUAAUCUGCGUCUGUGAAUCCAUCCGCCUAAAAUCAAAUUGUCGUUCGACUGUUCAAUCAAUUUCCCGUCUAUCGACCGCCAUCUGUUCGAUUAUUCUAGUUUCAUUGAUACCAAACAAGCGUAUAUGGGUCUGUUACUAUGCUUACAAUUUUGACUUUAUGUAGAGAUCUCGUGAUUUAAGUUACUAGCUUCUUAUUCCAACUCUCGUUUACGCCUCUGAUAACAAGGUACUAGCUUCUUGCUUCAAGUUUUAUCCCCUAUAAUUCCAUAAGAUACUCCUUUUAUUCUGAAUUUAAGUUCUAGCUUCUUACAUUAUUUUUUAAUCUAGGAUCUAUGUUAUAGAUUAGGUAGCACCAUUCAAUCUUUCAGCUUCUGGGAUGGGCUUCCAAGUUCUAUGAAGCAAACCACUGUUCAAUUUUGGGUAUUCUUUUUGAAAAUUGGAUCCUAAAUAUGAGAAUGAAGCAACAUAUUUGAGUUACUUGUUUGUUGUGGGAAUCAAUCAACUUGAUUAUAUGCCAUUGUAGUUGUGUCGAGAUUCUGAGGUUAUAUGUCAUAUGAUUAUAAAUCAACUGCUUCCUGAUUACUUCUUGUUGAGCUUCUGAAGUUAUAUGUCAUAUGAUUUCAACAGUUCUAAUAUUGAUUUAGGUUCCGAUACUACAUAUGCUUCCCUUAGUUAACUUAUUAUUCAAAAAAUCUAAUAUCCUAAGAGACUGUCUAGUAGGUGCUCUAAUACCAGUUGACAAACAUAUAAGCUUGGAAUGUUCCAAUUUAGUUGAUUAUUAAAGGCCUAAAUAGUUCAAUGAUGCAGUCUUUGUUAACGGGACAUGUUUGAAAUGUUGUUGAUUUUUUGUAGUGGAACUUGUUUGAAUUUAUGUUGUUUAUGCUUUAUUUUAUUUACUUUUUAUGUUGUGAUCAUUUGCUCACCUGAUGUAUGUAUAUUCUUAGUUAGAAUACUAAUUCAUGUAAAGAAAUCAACGAAUUAUGAAUUUAUACUCAUCCUCGAAUGUUGUGGUUAUGUUGAUCUUAUGACAACUUGUUGUAAGGAGGGGUAAUUAUGUCUUUCUUUCUAUUUCUUUUGUUUUAUUUGAUUUUCAUAUGUUUGAAUAUCUGAUGGCAGUGGGAAGGCAAAACAGGAAAUCUGCAGAGGCUUUUGCUAAAAAUGAUGGCAAAGGUUUGUAUUGUUUGCCAUCAAAUUUCACUCCAUGAAUAUUGUUUUAAUUGUUUUUAGUUUUUUUAUAUAUAGUUUUCAUGUUCAUUCGAUGAGCUUGAAGCAUAGAUGUUGCAAGGACAUAAAUUAUAGGUAUUUUUAGUUAUACUACAAAAGUGCAAAGAUAACAAGUUCAAAAGAGGACACCAAACUAAGAAUUUCAUCUACACCAAAUAAAAAAAUUUACAAAAAUGAUGAAUUUUUUUUGUAUGUGAACGAUUUGUUAUUAUUAAAUUAUGAAUUGGAGAUAAUGGUUUCACUUUUUUGGCUUUUAGUAUUUGCAUGUCUUGUUUCUAUUUCAUGUAAAAGAUCUACACUUCUUUUUAUGUUAUGUUUAUUGGUGAUAUUUCUAUAUCCUUUUAUAUGAUGUAUUAUGGUUAAUAUGAUAGGUAAAAUCAGAAGUUUGAUAAACAAGAGGAGCAAUUAUAAGAAGUUCAAGGUCAAUGAAGUUUCAUGUUUCUUCCCCAACACAUAUCAAGUUUGAUAGUAUUAUGGUUUAAGUACUAGCACAACAUUUAGACUUAUUAAACUUUUGAGAAGAUGCUUGUAUUUUAACUAUAUUGAGAAUGUUGUUCUUAAACAAGUUUAAAAUGAUGUAAUGAUAUUGUGUUUUCAUUUAUUAUCUUAGUUAUCUUAUUAUUA
rnacentral:lncRNA from 1 species